CAGUAGCCACGGGAAUACGUAGGUGGCAAGCGUUGUCCGGAUUUAUUGGGCGUAAAGCGAGCGCAGGCGGUCAAUUAAGUCUGAAGUUAAAGGCUGUGGCUUAACCAUAGUACGCUUUGGAAACUGUUUAACUUGAGUGCAAGAGGGGAGAGUGGAAUUCCAUGUGUAGCGGUGAAAUGCGUAGAGAUUAGGAGGAACGCCAGUGGCGAAGGCGGCUUUUUGGCCUGUAACUGACACUGAGGCGCGAAAGCGUGGGGAGCAAACAGGAUUAGAUACCCCCGUAGUCCCUGUCUCUUAUACC
rnacentral:rRNA from 1 species